UACAGAGACUGCGAGCGUUAUUCGGAUUCACUGGGCGUAAAGGGUGCGCAGGCGGCCGAGUGUGUGGGGCGUGAAAGCCCGGGGCUUAACCCCGGAAUUGCACCUCAAACUACACGGCUAGAGCAUUGGAGAGGGUAGCAGAAUUCACGGUGUAGCAGUGAAAUGCGUAGAUAUCGUGAGGAAUACCAGAGGCGAAGGCGGCUACCUGGACAAUUGCUGACGCUCAGGCACGAAAGCGUGGGGAGCAAAAGGG
rnacentral:rRNA from 1 species